rnacentral:rRNA from 1 species
AGCUCCAAUAGUGUAUAUUAACUUUGCUGCAAUUGAAAAGCUCGUAGUUGGAUUUUGGGACUCUUUUCUUAGCACGCGGACGGGUGUAAACUCGGUUCUGCGUGCUGGGUCCUUCUGUCUGGAAAGGCCAGUGCCUCUCUUCAUUGUUGAGGCCUGGGCUUUCUAGGACUCUUACUUUGAACAAAAUAGAGUGUUUAAAGCAGGCGGCUUCGCCUUGAAUACAUUAGCAUGGAAUAAUCACAUAGGACUACGGCCUCAUUUGUUGGUUUUUCUCAGAGACCGUAGUAAUGAUUAACAGGGACAGUUGGGGGCUUUAGUAUUACAUGAUAAGAGGUGAAAUUCUUAGAUCCAUGUAAGACUAACUUCUGCGAAAGCAUUAGCCAAGGAUGUUUUCAUUAAU